rnacentral:rRNA from 1 species
CAAGUCGAGCGGAGACAGUGAGUAGCUUGCUAUGAGCUGUUUUAGCGGCGGACGGGUGAGUAACGCGUGAGCAACCUUUCCCAGACAGGGGAAUAACACACCGAAAGGUGUACUAAUACCGCAUAAGACCACGGGAUCACAUGGUUCUGAGGUAAAAGAUUUAUCGGUUUGGGGUGGGCUCGCGUCCGAUUAGGUAGUUGGUGAGGUAACGGCCCACCAAGCCGACGAUCGGUAGCCGACCUGAGAGGGUGAUCGGCCACAUUGGGACUGAGACACGGCCCAAACUCCUACGGGAGGCAGCAGUGGGGAAUAUUGGGCAAUGGAGGAAACUCUGACCCAGCAACGCCGCGUGGAGGAAGAAGGUUUUCGGAUCGUAAACUCCUGUCCUUGGAGACGAGUAGAAGACGGUAUCCAAGGAGGAAGCCCCGGCUAACUACGUGCCAGCAGCCGCGGUAAUACGUAGGGGGCAAGCGUUGUCCGGAAUAAUUGGGCGUAAAGGGCGCGUAGGCGGCUCGGUAAGUCUGGAGUGAAAGUCCUGCUUUUAAGGUGGGAAUUGCUUUGGAUACUGUCGGGCUUGAGUGCAGGAGAGGUUAGUGGAAUUCCCAGUGUAGCGGUGAAAUGCGUAGAGAUUGGGAGGAACACCAGUGGCGAAGGCGACUAACUGGACUGUAACUGACGCUGAGGCGCGAAAGUGUGGGGAGCAAACAGGAUUAGAUACCCUGGUAGUCCACACUGUAAACGAUGAAUGCUAGGUGUAGGGGGUAUCGACCCCUUCUGUGCCGCAGUCAACACAAUAAGCAUUCCGCCUGGGGAGUACGGCCGCAAGGUUGAA